rnacentral:rRNA from 1 species
CUGCUGCCUUCCGUAGGAGUUUGGACCGUGUCUCAGUUCCAAUGUGGGGGACCUUCCUCUCAGAACCCCUACGCAUCGUCGGCUUGGUGGGCCGUUGCCCCACCAACUACCUAAUGCGCCGCAUGCCCAUCCAUGACCGGGGUCGCCCCCUUUGACCGGCAGGGGAUGUCCCCUCCCGGCAUUAUGUUGUAUUAGGCGGGAUUUCUCCCGGUUAUCCAUCUGUCACGGCCAGGUUGCAUACGUGUUACUCACCCGUGCGCCGGUCGCCCGG